AAAAACAAAAAACAAACAACAAAAAAACCUUGUUUGUCAUUAUCACCCCACAGAUCUUUUUAGACAUUUUUUUCCUAAUCACCCCACAUGAAAAUUUAGUAACAUAGAUGUCCUGUAUAUUUGCUUAUAUACUAUAUGUAUAUCAGUGUUCUGCUGUGUUUUUUACAUUAAAAGAGUAAGAUUUUUUUCACCCCUCCCCCUGCCACAAACCAAUUUUUGUCCUUGUUGAGAAUGCAUGCCGUAAAGAAUAGGAAAACCUUCCAAUGGAAUCUCAUACAGUCUUUUAAGAAGAAUCAAGUUCCUUACUCAGAAGGGUGAGGCAAGAGGAUCAUUUGAGGCCAGCAGUUCGAAACCAGCCUGGGCAAUAUAGUGAGACCGCCCCCCCAUUUCUUAAAAAAAAAA
rnacentral:lncRNA from 10 species